rnacentral:rRNA from 1 species
GAGUUUGAUCCUGGCUCAGAACGAACGCUGGCGGCAAGCUUAACACAUGCAAGUCGAACGGAUUAUUCUUGUAGCUUGCUAUGAGAAUAAUUAGUGGCAGACGGGUGAGUAAUGCAUAGGAAUCUACCUAGUAGUAUAGGAUAGCCACUAGAAAUGGUGGGUAAUACUGUAUAAUCCCUGCGGGGGAAAGAUUUAUCGCUACAUGAUGAGCCUAUGUUAGAUUAGCUAGUUGGUGGGGUAAUGGCCUACCAAGGCAGUGAUCUAUAGCUGGUCUGAGAGGAUGAUCAGCCACACUGGAACUGAGACACGGUCCAGACUCCUACGGGAGGCAGCAGUGGGGAAUAUUGGACAAUGGGCGCAAGCCUGAUCCAGCUAUGCCUGGGCAGUGA